rnacentral:lncRNA from 1 species
GCGGCACAAAUUUUUUUUUUUUUACUUACUCCUUACUUUUAAUAUUAAUUUUGAAUUUGAAUUUUCCCGGGUAAAAGAAAAAGAUGGCGGUUGCGUCCGAGAGUGAUCGCUUGAUGUGACAUACUGUUGUGUCACUUCAUUAUUUACACCGAGCAAACGACGUUAUAUAUUUUUUGUCUGGUGUAACAUAACAAAAAAUCAUGCAAUAUUAUUAUAAGGUUAUUUGUAGUGAAAAUUAAAAAUAUAUGUUACGGUGGAUUUUAUAAUUAUUAUGUACAAUUACAUAUACAAUUACGUCCUCAAUAAAAUUUAUGCAAAUAAUUGUAAAAAACAAAUCAUAUUGAUUAUUAAAAGAAAAUUUCCAGCUGAAAUCCAAAUAAAAGCUUCCAUUCACGCUAAAGUCCAUCAGAUAAAAGCUCACAGUUCAGAUAAUAUUAUAUUCACGCUAAAUGUCUACUCCAAAUUAUCUUAGAUUAUAACUCACGCUAAGUACCCGCUAAAUACACGCUAGUGUCCGAUUGUCCUCAGCCAAAAAUGAUAUGGUUGGAUGUCGCUACAUCAAAUAAUAAACCGGAAAUUGUUGCACAUUAUUUUUUAAAAGCGGUACAAAAAUUAAAGUUACUCCCAACUUUAACUCGAUCAGAUUGUGGUACAGAAAAUUGUAUUGUUGAAGCUCUUCAGCAAAGUCUACGUUUUCAUCAUGAUGAUAAUUUAGCUGGUUGGAAAAGUUUUAUUAAAGGCAAAAGUACGUCUAAUCAGCGUAUAGAAAGUUAUUGGUCUCAACUUAGACGUCAUGGUUUGGAUUUUUGGAUCGAUUAAUUUAAAGAUUUACGCGAGAGAGGUCUUUAUAAUGAUUCAUCAAUAUUACAUGUUGAAUGUUUACGCUUCUGUUUUGGGCAUUUAAUUAGAGCUGAAUUGAAAAUGAUUCGUCAUGAGUGGAAUCGGCAUCGUAUAAGAAAACAAAAAAGUCGUCAUAUAGCUCCAGAAAAACCAAAUUGUUUGUAUUAUCUUCCUGAAGUAAUUGGGGCAAGUGAUUACAAGAAACCAAUUGAUGAAAAUGCUGUUAAUAUUCUCAAAUCUGAUUAUACUCUGGAACCUAAAUUGUACAAUGAAUUGUUUUGUCAAUUGGUAUGCGCGGGGUAUUGUCCCCAGGUGCGAUGCAUCCAGCAUUCGCGACUCGAAUGGGAUUCCCUGGUGGACCAAUGCUAACGCCGAUGAUGCAUCCACGCUUCAGAUGAUCACCUCAAGCUAACGGGCCUAAUCUAUCACUGCACUUUGUGCUUUGGGCCCAGCCCUGACUUGGUCUCAAGUGAAAAAUUUACUGACUCAAAUCAAUAAUAUAAUUAUAUGUAAUAUAAUUACUAUGCAAGAGCCGUUGGUUUAAAUUUUCAAAAAACCGAAAAACGACUUUCAUGUGCAAAGUCAAAAUAUCAACGCUACUGAUUCUCAGUUAACACGAAGUUAGCAAAAGCCUUUUCUUUUUUUUGUUUUUAAUUAAUUAAUUAUCGAAUUAAAUAUUGUUACACUAAACAGCAUCUGGAAGUAACAAUCUGUCAUUAAUAAGCGUAAAAAGUAAUUCCAAAUAUCGAAAUAUUUUUUUUUUAUAUUUUUUCUUUGAUAACAAAUCGAUCAUUUUAUUAAAUAAAACGGAAUAAAUUCUGUUAAAUUAUCGUUACUAUUACGUUCAAAUCUAAUAAUUAAAUUGAAAAUAUUAAUAUUUAUGUGCUGUAAACAAGUGUACGUACAAAAACUACGCAUUGUUAAAAUUAUUUAAUUUUACAAAUUGUCUUUUUGAAUAACAAAGAAUUAAAAUUUUUAAUUCAUCUUAUUUUCAAAUUAAAUAACAAUAAAUUUAAACGAUUCAGUAAGACAAUCUGAAUUAUAAAAAAAAAAAAUAAGUUAUGGAUAUUCAGUGAGUGUCGCCGACAAUAUUUAUCUUUUUUAAAUUUUUU